rnacentral:rRNA from 1 species
ACGCUCGACACCUACGGGGGGCAGCAGUGGGGAAUAUUGCACAAUGGGGGAAACCCUGAUGCAGCGACGCCGCGUGGAGGAAGAAGGUCUUCGGAUUGUAAACUCCUGUUGUUGGGGAAAAANGGAUGGUACCCAANAAGGAAGUGACGGCUAACUACGUUCCAGCAGCCGCGGUAAUCUGAGCGGGCUGGCAAGGC